CUUUACCCCACAUGCCUGGGAAGCCAGGGGCCAAGAUGGAUCUUCUCCUUGAUAUCAGCUAAGCCUGGAGGACUCUUCCCCUCAGAGACCAUGGAGAGGGACAGCCACGGGAAUGCAUCUCCAGCAAGAACACCUUCAGCUGGAGAAUCUCCAGCCCAGGCAUCUCCAGCUGGGACACCUCCAGGCCGGGCAUCUCCAGCCCAGGCAUCUCCAGCCCGAGUAUCACCAGCCCAGGCAUCUCCGGCUCUGGCAUCGCCUUCCAGGUCCUCAUCUGGCAGGUCAUCAUCCGCCAGGUCAGCCUCCGUGACGACCUCCCCAACCAGAGUGUACCUUGUUAGAGCAACACCAGUGGGGGCUGUACCCGUCCGAUCAUCUCCUGCCAGGUCAGCAGCAGCCGCCAGGGCCACCAGGGAGAGCCCAGGUACGAGCCUGCCCAAGUUCACCUGGCGGGAGGGCCAGAAGCGGCUGCCGCUCAUCGGGUGCGUGCUCCUCCUCAUUGCCCUGGUGGUUUCGCUCAUCAUCCUCUGUGAGUU
rnacentral:sRNA from 1 species